UACAGAGGGUGCAAGCGUUGUUCGGAAUCAUUGGGCGUAAAGAGCGUGUAGGCGGUCCGGUAAGUCCGCUGUGAAAGUCGGGGGCUCAACCCUCGAAUGCCGGUGGAUACUGUCGGGCUAGAGUGCGGAAGAGGCGAGUGGAAUUCCUGGUGUAGCGGUGAAAUGCGCAGAUAUCAGGAGGAACACCUAUUGCGAAGGCAGCUCGCUGGGACGUAACUGACGCUGGAGAACGCGAAAGCGUGGGGGAGCAAACAGG
rnacentral:rRNA from 1 species